rfam:Triticum aestivum genome assembly, contig: Triticum_aestivum_CS42_TGACv1_scaffold_580059_7BL
AAGGUACUUCCUCCGUCCGAAAAUACUUGCCGUCAAAAUGGAUAAAAAGAGAUGUAUCUAGAACUAAAAUAUGUCUAGAUACAUCCUCUUUUAUCCAUUUUGAUGACAAGUAUUUCCGGACGAAGGGAGUAUUCA